GAGAGUUAAACAGUACGUGAAAUUGUUGAAAGGGAAACGAUUAAAGUCAGUCGUACCUACGAGUAAUCAACCUACACGAGCGCGAUUUUGUGGGUAUGAAGAGGUAAAAACCUUCAUGGUUGCAAAUUGGUGUUCUUUGGGCGUACUUUCUCGUAUGGUAGGUUAACAUCAAUUUCGAUCGUUAUAAAAUGACGGGAGGAAUGUAGCUUCGACUUCGGUUGAAGUGUUAUAGCCUCUGGUAGAUGUAAUGAUUGGGAUUGAGGAUUGCAACGGAUACCCUCUGGGCUAUUCGUCUGAUCUCUGGAAGUUACCUUGGUGUCGAAAGCGUGCUUAUGACAUUAAGAAUGACGGCCAAAAGGUUAGAACGGAAUUAAAUUCGUUAAGGAUGUUGACGUAAUGGCUUUAAACGA
rnacentral:rRNA from 1 species